UUGCCAAGGUUGCAUGCUUUGUUUGUUGCUGUCGCAGCAUUUUUUGGCGGAGUUUCUGUGGACGUUGCGACUGCCGCUACUAUGAACUAAAAGAAUAAAGGGAGUUUGUCGUGUAGUCGAGUUGCGAUCGAGGUUUGGCAAGAAAGAUCAUCCUAAAACUCCAUCAAUGCUUUAAAGGAAUGCAUAGGUCAAAUGGUGGUCCCAAUUCGAUACAACCAUGGCUCAUCCCAACGAAGUAAGGAAAUGGUUCAAAGAACAUCCUCAAUUUAUCAAGCAAAUAUUACAGCUACUUCAAGCUGAAGAAGACCAAGAAAGAAAACAAGAUCCAAACUCCUCAACAGCCUCUUCCAGUGAUUAUAAUUAAAACGAAGAUGACU